rnacentral:rRNA from 1 species
UGCAAGUCGAGCGGACAGAAGGGAGCUUGCUCCCGGAUGUUAGCGGCGGACGGGUGAGUAACACGUGGGUAACCUGCCUGUAAGACUGGGAUAACUCCGGGAAACCGGAGCUAAUACCGGAUAGUUCCUUGAACCGCAUGGUUCAAGGAUGAAAGACGGUUUCGGCUGUCACUUACAGAUGGACCCGCGGCGCAUUAGCUAGUUGGUGGGGUAAUGGCUCACCAAGGCGACGAUGCGUAGCCGACCUGAGAGGGUGAUCGGCCACACUGGGACUGAGACACGGCCCAGACUCCUACGGGAGGCAGCAGUAGGGAAUCUUCCGCAAUGGACGAAAGUCUGACGGAGCAACGCCGCGUGAGUGAUGAAGGUUUUCGGAUCGUAAAGCUCUGUUGUUAGGGAAGAACAAGUGCGAGAGUAACUGCUCGCACCUUGACGGUACCUAACCAGAAAGCCACGGCUAACUACGUGCCAGCAGCCGCGGUAAUACGUAGGUGGCAAGCGUUGUCCGGAAUUAUUGGGCGUAAAGGGCUCGCAGGCGGUUUCUUAAGUCUGAUGUGAAAGCCCCCGGCUCAACCGGGGAGGGUCAUUGGAAACUGGGAAACUUGAGUGCAGAAGAGGAGAGUGGAAUUCCACGUGUAGCGGUGAAAUGCGUAGAGAUGUGGAGGAACACCAGUGGCGAAGCGACUCUCUGGUCUGUAACUGACGCUGAGGAGCGAAAGCGUGGGGAGCGAACAGGAUUAGAUACCCUGGUAGUCCACGCCGUAAACGAUGAGUGCUAAGUGUUAGGGGGUUUCCGCCCCUUAGUGCUGCAGCUAACGCAUUAAGCACUCCGCCUGGGGAGUACGGUCGCAAGACUGAAACUCAAAGGAAUUGACGGGGCCCGC